rfam:Agrilus planipennis Contig3714, whole genome shotgun sequence.
AACUAGGUGAAGGUUUGGAAUGGAUUCAAUCGAAUGUCGGCUGAAGAGGACCCUAGUUGGUCCUAAAACGGCCUGAGGUAGAGGGGUUUUAGUCGGUAGGUCCGAGGACUUCUUCCUCGGGAAUCCGACACUACCCAGUCGUACGGACGGCUGGGUGUCUUCUGAAGAUUUCCCCUCUUCCAC